AUGGCAGUUGCUCUUGGUGAGGCAGAUGCUCCAGAAGGGGAUGGGCAGAGAAGUGGACACAGCCCAGACCUGGGAGAUGCCAGGCAUGGCUGCUAUCCUCGUCCUUGCAGGGGAGGGUGGGUGCAUCCACUUGGCCUCUUUGCCUCCGCACGGGACCCAGGAUUUGUCCUGGGGUGUCUGCAGCAGGCUGGGCACUGUGGCCAGGCUGGUGGCUUGAGGACUGGCAGGGAUGGCAAGAGACCUGAACUCUGUUGGGAGAGCCUCAGUCUUUCCCCACAUCUGUCCUCCACCUCAGCCACAGGUGUCACACAGAGAGGCCCCUGGAGCCCCUGCAGCUUGACUCUGCCCACGAGCCAACAGGGAGAUGCUUCUUCUUAUCACCCUCAUUGCUCUGACUGUGGCUGGAGUCCCAGCCCCACCUCUGCCCUCUCACCUCUCUGGGAGCAGGCGAGAGAUCAUCUGCCCAAGAGAGGACGCCUUUCCAGGGAGGAGCGCACCGAGGGGGCCCUGCCAGCCCCUGGGGUCCUCACCUUGCCUUCUUCAAGCAGGGACAGGACGGCCUUGAAGGAGGGAGCUGCAGGGUGCCCAUCCCUUCAGGAUGCCAGCCAUCAUGAGGAGGGCCCACCUCAGUUUGCCUCUGCCAAGACCCUGCCUGUUAAUCGCAUCGCUUCCGGUGGUCCUGAGGCCUAGGAAUUCAACCU
rnacentral:lncRNA from 1 species